rnacentral:rRNA from 1 species
UACGGGGAGUGCAAGCGUUGUUCGGAAUUAUUGGGCGUAAAGAGCAUGUAGGUGGCUUUGUAAGUCUGGAGUGAAAUCCCUCGGCCCAACCGAGGAGGUGCUUCAGAAACUACUAGGCUUGAAUCCUGGAGGGGCAAGUGGAAUUCCCAGUGUAGGGGUGAAAUCCGUAGAUAUUGGGAGGAACACCGGUGGCGAAGGCG